rnacentral:rRNA from 1 species
GGUUAAGCGACUAAGCGUACACGGUGGAUGCCCCGGCAGUCAGAGGCGAUGAAGGACGUGCUAAUCUGCGAUAAGCGUCGGUAAGGUGAUAUGAACCGUUAUAACCGGCGAUUUCCGAAUGGGGAAACCCAGUGUGAUUCGUCACACUAUCAUUAACUGAAUCCAUAGGUUAAUGAGGCGAACCGGGGGAACUGAAACAUCUAAGUACCCCGAGGAAAAGAAAUCAACCGAGAUUCCCCAGUAGCGGCGAGCGAACGGGGAGCAGCCCAGAGCCUGAAUCAGUGUGUGUGUUAGUGGAAGCGUCUGGAAAGGCGCGCGAUACAGGGUGACAGCCCCGUACACAAAAAUGCACAUGCUGUGAGCUCGAUGAGUAGGGCGGGACACGUGGUAUCCUGUCUGAAUAUGGGGGACCAUCCUCCAAGGCUAAAUACUCCUGACUGACCGAUAGUGAACCAGUACCGUGAGGGAAAGGCGAAAAGAACCCCGGCGAGGGGAGUGAAAAAGAACCUGAAACCGUGUACGUACAAGCAGUGGGAGCACGCUUCGGCGUGUGACUGCGUACCUUUUGUAUAAUGGGUCAGCGACUUAUAUUCUGUAGCAAGGUUAACCGAAUAGGGAGCCGAAGGGAAACCGAGUCUUAACUGGGCGUUAAGUUGCAGGGUAUAGACCCGAAACCCGGUGAUCUAGCCAUGGGCAGGUUGAAGGUUGGGUAACACUAACUGGAGGACCGAACCGACUAAUGUUGAAAAAUUAGCGGAUGACUUGUGGCUGGGGGUGAAAGGCCAAUCAAACCGGGAGAUAGCUGGUUCUCCCCGAAAGCUAUUUAGGUAGCGCCUCGUGAAUUCAUCUCCGGGGGUAGAGCACUGUUUCGGCAAGGGGGUCAUCCCGACUUACCAACCCGAUGCAAACUGCGAAUACCGGAGAAUGUUAUCACGGGAGACACACGGCGGGUGCUAACGUCCGUCGUGAAGAGGGAAACAACCCAGACCGCCAGCUAAGGUCCCAAAGUCAUGGUUAAGUGGGAAACGAUGUGGGAAGGCCCAGACAGCCAGGAUGUUGGCUUAGAAGCAGCCAUCAUUUAAAGAAAGCGUAAUAGCUCACUGGUCGAGUCGGCCUGCGCGGAAGAUGUAACGGGGCUAAACCAUGCACCGAAGCUGCGGCAGCGACACUAUGUGUUGUUGGGUAGGGGAGCGUUCUGUAAGCCUGUGAAGGUGGCCUGUGAGGGUUGCUGGAGGUAUCAGAAGUGCGAAUGCUGACAUAAGUAACGAUAAAGCGGGUGAAAAGCCCGCUCGCCGGAAGACCAAGGGUUCCUGUCCAACGUUAAUCGGGGCAGGGUGAGUCGACCCUAAGGCGAGGCCGAAAGGCGUAGUCGAUGGGAAACAGGUUAAUAUUCCUGUACUUGGUGUUACUGCGAAGGGGGACGGAGAAGGCUAUGUUGGCCGGGCGACGGUUGUCCCGGUUUAAGCGUGUAGGCUGGUUUUCCGUGCAAAUCCGGAAAAUCAAGGCUGAGGCGUGAUGACGAGGCACUACGGUGCUGAAGCAACAAAUGCCCUGCUUCCAGGAAAAGCCUCUAAGCAUCAGGUAACAUCAAAUCGUACCCCAAACCGACACAGGUGGUCAGGUAGAGAAUACCAAGGCGCUUGAGAGAACUCGGGUGAAGGAACUAGGCAAAAUGGUGCCGUAACUUCGGGAGAAGGCACGCUGAUAUGUAGGUGAAGCGACUUGCUCGUGGAGCUGAAAUCAGUCGAAGAUACCAGCUGGCUGCAACUGUUUAUUAAAAACACAGCACUGUGCAAACACGAAAGUGGACGUAUACGGUGUGACGCCUGCCCGGUGCCGGAAGGUUAAUUGAUGGGGUUAGCGGUAACGCGAAGCUCUUGAUCGAAGCCCCGGUAAACGGCGGCCGUAACUAUAACGGUCCUAAGGUAGCGAAAUUCCUUGUCGGGUAAGUUCCGACCUGCACGAAUGGCGUAAUGAUGGCCGGGCUGUCUCCACCCGAGACUCAGUGAAAUUGAACUCGCUGUGAAGAUGCAGUGUACCCGCGGCAAGACGGAAAGACCCCGUGAACCUUUACUAUAGCUUGACACUGAACAUUGAGCCUUGAUGUGUAGGAUAGGUGGGAGGCUUUGGUGUGGACGCCAGUCUGCAUGGAGCCGACCUUGAAAUACCACCCUUUAAUGUUUGAUGUUCUAACGUUGACCCGUGAUCCGGGUUGCGGACAGUGUCUGGUGGGUAGUUUGACUGGGGCGGUCUCCUCCUAAAGAGUAACGGAGGAGCACGAAGGUUGGCUAAUCCCGGUCGGACAUCAGGAGGUUAGUGCAAUGGCAUAAGCCAGCUUGACUGCGAGCGUGACGGCGCGAGCAGGUGCGAAAGCAGGUCAUAGUGAUCCGGUGGUUCUGAAUGGAAGGGCCAUCGCUCAACGGAUAAAAGGUACUCCGGGGAUAACAGGCUGAUACCGCCCAAGAGUUCAUAUCGACGGCGGUGUUUGGCACCUCGAUGUCGGCUCAUCACAUCCUGGGGCUGAAGUAGGUCCCAAGGGUAUGGCUGUUCGCCAUUUAAAGUGGUACGCGAGCUGGGUUUAGAACGUCGUGAGACAGUUCGGUCCCUAUCUGCCGUGGGCGCUGGAGAACUGAGGGGGCUGCUCCUAGUACGAGAGGACCGGAGUGGACGCAUCACUGGUGUUCGGGUUGUCAUGCCAAUGGCACUGCCCGGUAGCUAAAUGCGGAAGAGAUAAGUGCUGAAAGCAUCUAAGCACGAAACUUGCCCCGAGAUGAGUUCUCCUGACUCCCUGAGAGUCCUGAAGGAACGUUGAAGACGACGACGUUGAUAGGCCGGGUGUGUAAGCGCAGCGAUGCGUUGAGCUAACCGGUACUAAUGAACCGUGAGGCUUAACCUU